AUACAUAAAAUAUGGAGGGAGAAAAAAAAUUGAUCAAUUGAAUAAUUCUAGAAACUUUGUAGAUCAUCUCAACGUUCUUUCCAGACACUGAGAGGACUUCUUACACAAAUGCAUGAGCAGAUUGAUGUAUUUUUUAAACAUGGGACCGCACAAUUUCUGAGUAUAUAUAUCAUAACAGCUCUGCGCAUGCGUCUGACAACCUGGAGCGUGUCAUCGCCCCAGACACAUAUAACUGUUAAAGUUAACGGCAGGAGGAGGGGUGUGCUCGUACAUUUGUUUGUGCGUCCAUCAGCUGUCUUUAUCAAUGCCGUGUGCGACCCUGGAGCUAGCAGACAGCCAGGGGUUAAAGGUCAAAGCAGAGCCUGUCUGGGCUUCCUGCCUGACCCCAGUGGCUGCGAGCGCUGGCGUGCACUCGUAUGCAGAAAACUGGGUGCUUUCGGGGAGGGAGGGCUGGUUCAACCGUCUACCAGACUAAUAUCACCUUUGGGAUUAGGAUCCAGACAAAAAUAAAUUGACCCCAAACCCCUCUCUUCCCACACACACACACACACACACACGCACACGCCCACGCACACGCCAGAUUUGCCUGGUCAUAAAAUCGGACUCGACCGUGCGGCAUGACGCAGACAGACAUGGCAGAGGUGCUGAGUCUGAGAGGAACAUCUAAUUAUCUUUUAGAGCUGAGUUAGAGGGAGGAGUGGAGGAGAACAAGGAGGUUCAACGGCGCCAAUAACAUGCAAGCCAACAGCGUAAGACGGUCGUUUUAGCCAGGAUAGAGACGAAAAAAACAAAUUCUGUAAGGUGGUGAUUUCAAAAUUGGGAUCACUGUAUGAUUAAGAAGGAAAAAGAUGCAACAUAUGAUAAGUUUAUAUCUCUGUGGUAACCCAAAUUUAGAUUUUGCAGCUUAAAAUAGCCUGAAGCACAACUUCGGUGUAAAACGACAUCAGAAUGCUUGUAAAAGAGAGAGAGAGAGGGAGAGAGAAAAAAAUCCCAAAUCAAAGAGAUCUCAGCUAAAUGAAACAAGGAACAAAAGGUCAAAAUCAGAGGCUGCCAAGCCAUCGGGAAAACUCGCUAAAUAAGCCGGAGUGUUAAGCCUGCUAAUCCCCCCGUAUUAUUGCAACAUCUGUGAGGCCUAGAGGGGCUCUGUCAGCGUACGCCGAGACAGAUGUAAACAAUAUCCUGCCUGAAAACGAAGAGGGUUUGUUUAGGUAUCGAAAACCGCCAACGGUAUGCGAAAAGAAGGUUGAAGUGACGCGGCGAAUGUAAAGCAGGUGAACCGGGAGAGACGGGGGAGUGGGAAGAAGCGAUGGAAGUGAGCGAGUAACAAAAGCUUGAUGCAGAAGAGGUAGUGAGAGUGUUUUUUUUUUGUUUUUUUUUGAGUUGUUGGGAUACAGCUUGAAGGUGGUGAAAAAAAAAAACAAAAAAAAAACGGAGGUGACAGCAUCCCGGAAAGACGGCACACCUGAGGACCAGGCUGACGAGACGCCAGGGAGACGAGGAUAAUUUAUGCAGAGAGUGUCUGGCAUCCCGUGAAUAGUCCAGAGAACUGAAAGGGGGGAGCUGCUUGUGGGUGCUAGCAGUGUGAAGGAAGGAAGAGAUGGGGGGGGGGAGGGUGCUUUUUUAAACGAGGGGGCUCAAAGGCUGCUCUUUCUGCUCGAUUCAGCUGAAGCUGUCCGUCUGACGUCCCAUUAAGAUUUGGGACAGGACAUGUGGAACUAGGCAUUGAAGAGGAGCGGGAAUGGGAGUGGUGGGGGGGAUAGGCACAGAGGUGAACGAGAGGCUCUUACCACCCACUCCAGUCUACUUCUUCAUUUUGGCUAUACGUAUUAGAUCCACAGAGCUGUAUGUCUGCUAAUCUGCAUGCUAAUUUCCUUUCAUCACAAACCAGAACCUCAUAAAGGACCAGGGACGGGCUCUGGGCAGACACAAGCUACUCAGCUGAAGUCUGGCUGAAUGAGAGGUCAUAAGAGCGCUUCAACCGCCUGGCUGCACUGACUCUUCCUGAAACUCCUCCAUAAGAUGAGUCAUUUGGCAAUAAAAAAGCUGUGGAUUUGAUUCCAGACACCCUCCACCAUCACUGACCAGUCCCUUGUUUCUAUGCUGUGCUUCGUACAAACGGUCUGGACCCUUGUCUAUUGAGAAUGCUACUGGAGAAAUCCAGUUCAAUAUAAGAAAGCCCAAAGGGAGCACUGAAGGGAAAUGAGAACGCAAUGGCAAGGGUAAUGAAUAUCAUUUGCUUUAGCAAAACCAUGUCUCAUUUCUUUUACACUCCACAACUAUGCACCGUUUUGUGUUGGCCUAUCAAAUAAAAUUCCAAUAAAACUCAAUUCAAGUUUGUAUUUGUGACAAAGUACAAAGAAUGAAUACCUUUGAGUAGCACUGUACUGAAAAAUCUUUUCGUAAGAUUCCCUUUUCAUGUAAAAGAUUUCCUACACAAAUAUAUUAACAGAUGGACAUAACUGAAGCAAAAUUUCAACAGUGUGACUUCAGGACUAUGUCAGAUAACACAACAAAAAGCUUAGCCAUAGGCAGCAGUCUUGACAUGUACGAACAUCAGCAGAGGCUGGCAUCAACCUUUAAAAUCAUGGAGCAGUUUUGAUUUGAAAGUGAGGAGACAGACUGUAUGCCUCGUGCAUUUGAAUCCUGGCCAAUUGCCAGGUGAAACCGUGCACGUGCGUGCGUGUUUGCGUGCAUGCACGCGUGCGUGUAUGCGUGCAUGCAUGCGUGCGGGUGUGUGGGCCAAGCGAGAAGCGCAGCGACCAGGGUGACGUUUGAGUCCGGUGAUGCAGGCGGACAGUUUAAUGACAGUCCUCGCCCUGAAACAUUCAGACCGGUGAGCACCUGGCCCGCUCUCGGAUGUAUACGCACCAUAUGACAAGUGCAACUAUACGUGUGAUGUACGGUGUGGCGUUUUCUGCAAAAGACGAGCAGAACUGGUGAAAAUGAAACAGAAAAAAUAUCUUAAUGCUUACGGCCCUAAGCAAAAAAAAAAAAAAAA